ACCCUAUCUUGGUACUAGAGGCAAGUCUGGGUGUCUCACCUGGGAUGCUGGGGUCCAAUUAAAUCUUCGUAGAAGUAAACAGGCAAUGAAAUCACUGCACAAGCAACUGUGGGAGCGUUACUGUUCCCUUAAAAGCAUAGCUGCAAGAGAAGACUUAAAGCAGAUUUGGGUUAAUCAAGUGAAGCUAUGCCAGUCUCAUGCUUGACAUAUGCAUGCACUCAGGCAUGACUCACCCUUCAAACAAUGAUUCAUCAUUAGUUUUUCUUAUUUUGUGUGUCUUUUGUCCAUCCUUGUUACAGUCUCUUGCCACUGUCUCACAAGUGCAGUGAUGGUUAAAACAACAUUAAAAUUAGACUUUUAAUUGGGUCUUCACUGCAGCACAUGCGGUGAGGGCAGAGAGGCUGCGUGCCUGUUGCUCUGAUGAGAAAGGGGGAAGUGAGCUGCAGCUGAUGGCUUUAAAUUGGGUAAAGGGAGAAGGAAAGGGGCCAGGUCAGCUGUGAGAGAGUUCAUUCUGGAAGGGCAACGUUGUCAAGCAAUGUGAUACUAUGUUCUGUUACUACAUAAGGAGCUGCAGCAGUCUGGUAGGCCUUGCAGCAUAGUGUUUUAACAAUUUGUUCUUUGAGAACUGAAAUGUGACCAGAAGAUUGAGGAUCUCUGCAUGGAAAGAAAGUCUCUUCUCAUUUCAAGCAUCCAGCAUCAAAAGGGACUGAAGAGCAGGAGGGGCAGAAGACUGAAGGAGGACAUGAGAAGAGAGGCAGACGAGGAGGAUUCUCACAGGCGCUGUCAGAAGGCCCUCAGACCCUGUGCUGCCCAGCCUAGGAGAGCCAACACAUCCCCACUGGGGCUGCCCACAUCUGUGCUCCUCUUCCUGUGUCUGUAUCCAGUCCCAAGGCAGGCUGGAGGGCAGAGGGUGCUCCAGCCAACACCGAGACGAGAGAGCAGAAGGAUGGGUCAGAAAGCUGAAGGAGAGAAGCCAGGUUCUUCAGAGUCCUCUUGACUUACAGGAUCAAUAUUUGUAUAAUAUUCAUGUCAAAGGACUAAAUAUUUGUUAUGGGACUAAAUAUUUCAGUGCUGCUCUAGUGACUACGCCAGCCUUCAGCGCCCGGGGCUGCUGGUAAUGAGCUGGAGUCACACACCAUGCUGAAUUAUUAUUGCUAACACGUAUGGAUGCAGCCUCGUACCUGAUGAAUGACACCUGCUGUGAAAACUGAGUGAUGCUAUUUUAAGAAGGUAUUUAUCUGGUAUUUGGAGGGGAGCUUCAGACAUAUGCAAUUCAGAUGCAUUUCUUUAGAUAGGAUAGCAGUCCUUGCAUUAUCAUAUUCAAUGAAAGUGUGCCUACAAGUACGUCUUCUGUACAUGCCGCAUGUGUGCAAAAUGUGUAUCCUAGAUACCUAAUGGCAGAUCCAAGCUGUAAAUAAACUGAUAAGUCAAAUGUGCUUUACUGAGCCCAGAUCACCAAAAAUUGGUAGGAGCUGGGUAUGGAAAAGAGAGCAAGAUUGGAUCAACCAUAGUAAAGUCAAGCAUUAUUAUUUCCCUUUUGGAGAUUAAAGCAAUAUUACAGAUUUAAAACUGGAUGACAUUUUGAGAACUGUUUGAAAAAUCAUGUUACAGAUUUACCAAGGCACUUUCAGCUUAAAACUGCCUUCUGGAACAGUUCUUAGUGUUUCUUUUGAAAUCUGCAGGUACUUUCUCCCUUUCCCUUCCCCCUUCUUCUACUGCUGUUGCUCUUUCUAAUUGUGUUCCACUGGAAAAAACAAAAUGAACGGAUGAAAUAUUUAAGGACAAUAUUUACAACAGAAGUUAUUUAUUUUAUCUUUUUUUUUUUUUACUUUUCCUGACUUGCAGGUUAAAGUGGGAAUUUACUGUAGGCACCACUGUGUUUGCACAUCUGUCUUGCUUGAUUGCUAUUGAUGCAGGCAUUACCUGGCCAAUAUUUAGAGUAAGCUUGAAGUGGGAUAAUGCAGAUGUCUUUUGUGAUUUCUCAUGAGACACCACUUUGUUUCAUGGUAGUGUCACUUGCGCAUUCUAAAGAAACCACUGAAAAAGAAAAUUCCUCUCUUUCUCCCAUGAAAAACAAUCGAAGUUUCCAAACAGGUUUGGCUUGUCCCAGGGUUUUGUGGUGGGCACGUGCAUUGCUGUCACUGGGUAUGUGACUAGGGCAGUGUCCUGCUCCAGGCUGGGUCCUCAGACCUACGGCAUGCAAUGGGCACUACUGGGACUGCAAAAUGGCAGGACCAUGAACUAAAGCUAAAGCAAAGUCAAAGACUAGGCUGUUUCCUAAACUUCCCUUCCUUCUGGUUGAAUUCAUGGUGUCCUGUGUCCUGCUGUGGCUAGAAAGCAGUGCUUUCCCAGGCAGGUGCCUGGCUCCUAGGCUUGCUCCUGGGAUCAAAGCCAUAACAGCCAGGUCUGGGUAAAGCAGGUGAGCUCGUCUAUUCCUCUGUCACCAACCACACCAGAGUCACUCAGCCUGUGUAAAGUAAACGUGCUGGGACAGAAGGGAGGCACUUGUGCUAUGCAAGAGCAGCACACUGUUUUUUUACUACCUGGAGCUGCCUGUCUGCUCACAAGAGCAGGCAGAGUCCCUGUGCCUGCAUUGAGGUCUAUAGCUGCAUGCUUAGACCAUCUGCCUAAGCCCAAGGUGACUGCAUCCCAACCAGGACACAUUCAAGUCAAGGUUGGAUGGGGAUCUGGGCAGCCUGAUCUGGUUGUUGAUAACUAAUGCUCUGCACAAUUAAGCAUUUUAAUUGCGUAUAUGAGAUGUUGAACCUGGAGCUGUUUCCAGACCAGGUCAUGCUUUGAAAAACUGUAAGGAAGAUGAGUGCUUCAGGAAGGCAUUUUGUUUGAAAAGACUCAUUUCCCCAUCCCACUCAAUGCUUAUUGGAUAAUAUAGCAUGUCCUAAAAGAAAGGGUUCAAUGAAAAGCUGUGUUUCCCUGACAGACUGAACACAUGCACGGCGCUAGCAGUCAUGCGGGAACCCAGAGGUUGAGAUCCUGCAUUUUUCUUCAGACACAAUAAAGAAUCUACUCUAAAGUAAAUAGAGUUCUCUGUAAUUUAUGCUACAUUUAUUGGUACUAAUUUCUCAUGCUCAUCUAUCAAUUUCCAAUUUCCUCUCAGUAAUCUGAAUUCAAUUUUCCGUUCAUAUUCCUGUUGAUGGUUGAAAUUCUCUCUCGUAAGUCCUGCUCAGCAGAUCUAUUGAAUACUUAAGAAGUAUUUACUGUAGAAUUAAUCUGAAAUUCUCCUAGUUAAUUUCCCCGGAUUGUGUCAAGCAAUGUGCGAACAGAGAAACAAUAGAAAUAGAUUAUCUUCCUCCUUAUUUUAUGACUGAACAGCACACUUAACUACCAAAAUGACCUAAAAUAAGUAGACUUCUCUCAGCAUAUUACAAAAGCCAUGUACACCCUCUAUCUAGAACUGCAAGUUAAUGACCAUUAGAGUUCUGUAUUUAGUUAUGGCUGUAUUAAAAACUGCUGUUAAACAUGACAUCCUGUGAUGACUGGAAUACUUGUUAGAUCUUUAAUUUUAUGUGAAAUGUAUAGACGAGAUUCAUCUAAGCUAGGGGUUGGCAAUAUCCAUUUACAAAUAUUUCUAUUUUAAAAUGCAUAUGUUUCAUUCCUGAGGAUGAAAACUGAAGAUGCCACUAGUAAUGCAUUUGGCUUGAGGGUAUUUUGUGAAUGGGUAAGGAUUUCAUACCUUGGAUAUCAUGUAAUUAAAACAAAUGGAAAAAAAAUAUUCUGGUCAUCCUACAUCUCAUUGUUUCACAGGAACUGACAAAUUUCUGUACUAAGAAUGUAUGACCAAAUCAAAGGACUCCAUUGGGGGAAAAUCUAUUAUUAGAUCUCGGAAAAUCUUUUUUUUUCCCAAGAUAUUUUAUAUUCAAUAGGG